AUCUCUUGCCUGGGCUGAAACUGAUGAAACCGGGCGAGGUCUCUGGAAAAACUGGCUUUGGCUAAUGAUGUCAGUAUGACCCGAUGCUGGUCAGUGAGCUGCCAGAGAAGUCUGCUGGGAUGCAGUUGGGAAAGACAUCUUCCUGUUGGAGAGAUUUGUCUGAGGAGGUCAUUUUUUCCCUCUUCUGGGGUUAUGUUCUGUGAGAGAGGGCGGCAUUGGAAGCCACCAGCUCCUGGGUUCCAGAUUUCAUCUUCUGCAGCCCCUAUGUUGUAGCUGGCAUCACCCGUUUCUCAUUCCAGAACACGGACACCAGUUAUAUUGGGUUCCUAAAGGAAAUCAACCCUGAAUAUUCCCUGGAAAGACUGAUGCUGAAGCUGAAGUGCCAAUACUGGGCCACCUGAUGCGAAGAGCUGACUCAUUGGAAAAGACCCUAAUGCUGGGAAAGGCUGAAGAUGAAUUUUAAAAUAAAGUAUCCUCUACAAUCCUGUUGAAACUAAAGG